AUCUCCUUCAUCUUUUGUCUGCUCUGUGCUUUCGGUUCUUCGUUUAAUCGGUCGAAUUUAUUUCUUUUUUGUGCAUCUUCGGUAUGGUUUCGUAUUUGAGCGAGCUGAAUUUGGGGGAUUUUUGGUUCUUUGGAGGCCCUUAUUUUUUGGGGCCUUUAGGGUUGAGCCGCCCUUGUAUGUAGUGGAUGCACUGGGUGAACUGCCAAUUAUCAUAAGCACUUUGUAGGAUUUGAGGCAGAAUUAAUACAAUAAAGAACAUUACCAUAUUCAAGAAUUCUUAAGAACAAGAUAAAUGUAAGAGGAAACUACAAAUUAUCACACUCAAGGGUGUGAACUAGUGGUAAAUGAAAAUGAUUUCUUUCCAUCUGUUCUAGUCUUAGCUUUGAUAGACAGAGUUACUUGAUAACUAUUGCGGUGGAAGGUGGAAGGUGGCAAGUAAAAAGACGAAACUAUAAAUUAUCAUAAUUUUUGUCUAGAGCCAAGAUUUGAACCUUAUGGGUUCUGGAUUCUAGGACAUGGCCUCAGCCCUCAAGUGCAAGUAAUUGAAUUUUGAAUUUAAUUUUUGUACAUAUUUAGUGAUUCUUUUAAAACAUGUAGAAGGUUUAAAUCAAAGCUACUAUGUUAUGCCGAAUCCACAUGUUAUAUACUACCUCUGCUCUGCUGUUUUAAGCAGAUGACAACUCAGUGUACACACUAGCCUAAUAGAUGAAGUGACAAGGUUUAAAAGAUAAAGCUCUCAUUUCCUCAAGAAAAAUGUAAUGACUCCGUGAGAGCACAUUUUUUCAACACUCUGAUGUACCCUUGGUGCAAAUUCAGAAGCUAUUCAUAUGAAAAAUUGCCAGGUUUGUUUUCUAGUUAUCAAACCUUAACAGCUGGUAGUCUUUUCUGAAGUACUAGAUUUCCAGCAAUAGAAAGAAAUAUAAAAUGAUUUUUAGUGCUAGUCAGAUUUUGGCAAAAGUAGAAAUUUCAGUGCUCUUUGAAAACUCAGCAGUCAUCAAUGCUUUCCCAAUGCAAUAGAGUUAAUCACAAAGUGCAGACUGCAUCCAAUCAGCAUCAGGAGUACUAGUUUUAUCAGGUAAUAAGCACAUCUGUAUCUUAGGUAUCAGGCACGAUGUAAAAACAAUGUGCAAAUGUAGCAAAAUAGAAUCAAGUAUCAUAGAAGACAUAAUUGUUGGAACGACUUUAAUAAAGGAAGUAGUAAGGUACAACCAAUUUCCAUUUUUGCCAUAUGUGGUUCAAGCAUUUGAAUCUGCGUCUGAUCUUCCACUAUAUGUUCAUUCAGAUAUCUAUUAAAGAGGAGCUUUAAGCCUGUGAACUGUCAUCUGCUGUUUCAGACUUUCUAUCCUUGUUGAGAUUGCCUGCAAAAUUCACGAGUGGCGAUGAGAAUUUUCUGUAUGAGAACUUCUCUCCUUGGGUGGUUAAAGAGUCACUUCUGAACUCAUGUGAAUAAUCGGUAAAGGAUACAUAGAGAUAAAAUUUGAAAACAUGCUAUUGAAACUUCAACGCACAUACAAUAUUUUUUCUGAUUAUGUAUGCACAUACAAUCUAUUUUAAGUAAUAUGUCCCUCUGCUCUCCCUUACCACAUAUUGAUUAGAUUCCUAUAUGCUUAGAGCUGAUGGAGACAUUAUCUUCCCUCUUUUACUCUAUAUGCUACUCUCACUACAUGUUAUAAAUGUGAGCAAGGAAUCUGUUGUUUUUGGAAACUUCUCUGUAAAUGUCAAAGAUCAUACUAGAACAAUUAUCAUGAUAUGGCUACAAUGUUGAGAAUCAUCUCUAUUAACUUUUGUAACCGACCCUUUGUUCCCUAUAGAUUGUAUUGUUCCCUUUUAGAUCAGUUGCAAAAUGCUUUCUGCUUUCCUAAAUUGAAAGUAUUGUUCCUUCAUUUAAAAUCUUUCUAAAAAGAAAUAAUUGCUCUUUUUGCUUUCAAAAUGCUUUCCGCUUUUCCUUAAAUCAAAAUCUGGCUUCUUUUCCUGUUUAUCACCUUUUUAAAAUUAUACUAUAAAAAAUAUCAAUAUAAGGUUAGCACCUUUAUAGAGCCUCUGUUGAUACUCCUUGAUUAAAAACAAAGUUAUAUGGAGAUCAUUUUAUUAUUCUGCGAACUCAACUUAUGAGGAAAAAAAAAUGAAAAAAUGACUUCAACACUAUACUUGUCCAAUUUCUCUAUGUUUUUCAAUUUUCUCAUGGUCAGAAUCUUUGCAAAACAUUUUCUCUAGGUAGCCAAGACUAGGUUGUGGACAGUGGGAGGAGACUCAGAGAACUUCACAGUCAUGAUGGGUUACAACAAGGAUUGACUCUUUGUCCCUUUUUUCCCCUCUCUAGUUAUGGAUGUACUGACACGGCAUAUUCAAGGUAAGGUGUCAUGGUGUAUGUUAUUCGCAGAUGACAUAGUAUUGAUUGUCGAGACUCGCGGCGGAGUUAACACUAGGGUGGAGGUUUGGAGACACAGGUUGAGUGAUGCAAUCCAGAUUGCCUUAAGGCCAUUCACUCGAGGCCAAGCUAGGGAUCUUCAAAGGUUGCAAGGAUUGUUCAUGAAACUAGAGAUCCUUGAGCUGGUUUUGGUAGCAAAGAAGGGGUUCUAUGCCUUAAAGAUUGCUUGAAGUGAUGAAGGGAAAGCAAUGGAAGAUUCUGCCAUAUUUGGUGACGCCACAGUCACAUUUGGCGACACGCCAAACUAUCUACCUACGCCAAACUUAACAGUUGAAGGGUGAGGAUUUGACUGGCCCCUAUCACUUUGGUGUAUCGCCAAAGUGUUUGGGGAAGAGAGCUUUAGCUCGCCAAGAUUCAUAAUGGGCUUAUUUCGUGGGUCACUUUUGGACCUUGUUUAAUAAUUAGCCUAAAACUAUAAAUAACUAGUUUAGGUCUUCAUUUUAGUUUUAGAUUGUUUUGUAUAUUGAUAUUGUGAACUUUUUAAAAGACUGUUUGAGAGCUUGGUACAAGCUUUGGUUGAAAACUUGUUUAGAAAUGUUGGUUGCAAGGUGAAUCGAUUUCCCUCGAGGUCACCGUAAGAGGUAGGUUACUUCUUGUAGGAUUAACGGAUUGAGGUCUUAAGGUUUAAUAUACCUUUUGGUUGCUUUCUAUUUUCUUUUUUGGUGUCUAUCUAUCUACUUUCUUGUCUUUAAAUUUUGCAUUUUGUUCAUAAUUUGUGGUUAGAAUUACAUCAUUGUGCAAGACCAAGACUGAAUACUUGGAAUGUAAGUUCAGUGAUGCUACACAUGAGGUCGGUGUGGAAGUGAGGCUUGACGCUUGGGUCAUCCUAAGAGAGGAUGCUUCAAGUACCUGGGUCUUUAAUUCAAGUUAAUGUAAAGAUCAGUGAUGACAUCACACAUCGUAUUGGUGUGGGAUGGGCAAAAUAUAAGUUGGCCUCCAGAGUCUUGUGUGUUAAAAAAGGUACCGCCAAGACUUAAAGGAACAUUCAUUGAGCAAGAGCCAUUAUGUGCUGCCAUUGGAGGUAGAGACGUCGAACGUUCUGUAGUAGUAGUUGGUGAUACGAGCAGCAUAGCUCCAAGUCCAAUCUCAUUUGGAGGAAUGUAUUUAUUCCUUGCAUAAAUUAGAGUGACAUCUUCAUCACCGUCAGGAUUCCAGAAAGGAUCUUUGUCUGCUUCUCCCAACAAAAGGACAAGCUGAAGAGCACUUCUGUCCAGAAACCUCUACUCCAACUUCUAGCUUUUGGUCAUCACGAGCUAAGAGACCUGGGUUCAUCUCAGAAGUCAACAGGGACCAUCUCUUUCUCUAGCGCUCAACAGUAAACCCCCCACGUUACUGCCCUGACCACUGCCCUCUUUUCGUUGCACUGCCGCCACCAGUCAGCAAUAAUCCAGCGACUCCAUCCCGAUGACCGUCGACCGACGAUCCACCAACUCCGACAACUGACUAACCAGGAGUACAUCAGACUUCAGUGGAUUUCGGCAAAUCUGCCUAUGGAAAUCUUUUUUAUGCCCAUCAACUCCAAGGUGAGAGUUCAAGGCCAUACAGGUGGCUCCGUGACUGAUAAUUGGAUAAAUUUCUUAUUUGUUUUAUUGUCAAUUCAAGGGGUCCUUAUCUCAACAUUAGUCCGUAAAACCUAAGUUGUGCGGUCUCUUCACUUUCGAUGCCGCACCCGUGUCGGAUUCUCCAAAAAUACACUACUUUUGGAGAAUCCGACACACACACUUGUUGACAUUUUUGAAGAGUCCGAGCAACAUAGCUGAAAACUCGACUCGCAAUUUUUUUGAUGCAGGUUCAACACAGAUGUGCUGGCUUAGCCUCUGCCUCUUUCUGAUGAUUUAACUUGGUGGACUCUCAGAAAUCUAAUGGUCAACCUGAAAAACAAAGUGACAUUACUCAUUAGUGUUGAACCAUCAAUUAAGUAAUUUCUCUAGUCUCUAGUAUGUAGUAAGAAAGUGCCUUGCAUGUUUUUUGUUUAAUCUUUAUAUGGAGAGAUAUUUGAUUUUCAUCUUGAUAACA